UCAGGUGUUAUGACAAGAUAUUCACAACCAUUAACACUCUGCAAUAAAAAAAUACUUUACUAUAAUCAAGGAGUUCCUGUUCAGUUUACUGCGAUGGUCUUGCUGACGCAUAAAGUAGGAAUAUUACAUUUAUACCAAUACCAAUCACUAUGCCUAACUCUAGCCUUAUAAAAAGACAGCAUAAGAACGUGGCUACCGCUGGUAUUAGAUCAAUUUCUGGAAAAAAAAAAUGUACACAUCAAUUACACUUAUUUAUAUUUAUGUGCAUGCCUCAAAAUAAAAUUAAAAAUGUCUUGCAAUAGCAAAAAAAUAAAUUGAAACAAUGAGACCAAUUUUACGAGCAACGUACUUUUUGUU